UUUCAGGGUCAUGUAAUUGAAAAAAAUAAUAAGACCAAGAAUCAUUGAGGCCUUACACAAGUGAGAUUAUUGUAUGCACAUUAUUAUACUUGUCAGAGCCUCUUUUAAUCUCUACACAGAUAUUAUGUUCUUGUCACAGCCUAGCAUAAAUAGCAAACAUAAUGGGGGCAGGGAGGAAAACAAAGACAAUCACUGUUAGUGAGGACACCCCCUUUUUUACUGAGUCCAGCUGGUUAAGUUACAGAAAUUUGCCCGUGAAAGAGCUGGGCGGCGUUAUAUUCGGCUGUACACAUGAUACCUUUUCUGAGUGUCUCUCAAAGAAACUCUUUGGUUUGCCAUACGGGCACAUCUCCUAUGUUAAAAAAAUAAGCAUAGGUCUGCCCUUGUUUCUGUUCAAUUACAGUGAUCGUAAUCUUUAUGGUAUCUUUGAGGCAGCAAGCCAUGGCCAGACUUACCUCAAUGCCUCUGCAUGGACUGAUGGUGGGUCACAGACAACUCCCUUUCCUGCACAGGUUCGCGUGCGCACCAGGGUGGAAUGUCAAGCGCUUGUUGAGAAGCAGUUCAAGAAAAUAAUCGAAAAGAAUUAUUAUAAUAAUUCUAUGCACUUCUGGUUCGAGCUUGAUCAUGGGCAGACGAGAGAUUUGAUUGCAUUAUUCGAACCUUCUCGUCCUGCUGCCAGUACCACAUUGCGUCCAUUGAGAGAAAGUGAGAUUUUUCCAGUAUUACCAGCCACUACAAACAAAAAAGAACUUCCACAAUUAUUACCGGCCACCACUUGGAAGGACAUCGUCAACCAGAACCAUCUAAAGCAGUCGAACAAUUUAAGAAAUGAUAACAAGUUUGCAUCGCUCCUCUCAAACAAUGGAGAUUCUGAACAAGAUAGCUCAGUGAAAGCAUCAUCUUUGAGCAGUCUUGAGGAUAUGGAAUCUAAAAAGUCAGCGUCUGACUGGGAGGAGCAGGGAGAGGAUAGUGUGUUAGCUGUUAGUUCAAGUUCUAGCACUUUGUUUGAGAGAGCUAACCAUGUCUCUGAGAAACAACAGUUUACCGAGGCAUCAGAGUGUGAAGAAAAAAGAGUGUUGCAUAUGCUAGAAAAUUUAGCUGCAGAACGUGCACAAUCAAACUCAACUUACAGUAGUUCUAGUUGUGAUGAUCUUGUUUGUGCCCCUAGAGACGAGGUAUCUAUUACUGAAUCUUAUAUAAAUCAUGGAAGUACUCAUGACAUGGAAAAACCAUAUGCGCCCAACUUUAAUGGAAGUGUUGAUAUUGUAGAAUAUCCCAACACAUUUGACCUUAAUCAUGGAAAUAAUGAGCUGGUACAAUUUAUCAAAGAGGUAAAAGAAUGGUCUGCAGAUGUAAAGAAACAUCAGGCUAAGUCGGACCAGGAAAUUCAACAAUUGAGAAAUCAACUAUGGCACUCAGAGAGAAAGAUUGGCAUUUUAGAGGAUCAUGUUAAACAGCUUGAGUUGAAGAUUGAUCCAUGCAAGCUUGUCGAAGAAUCUUUAAACAAAUUCGUCGAACAGUAUUUGGGUACAGAUGUUAUUUACCUGAUCGGAGGCUUUGAUGGGUACUCCUGGUUAUCAUCCCUGGAUUCCUUUUCACCAUCACUUGAUAUAAUAACACCUCUAAAGUCGAUGAGCUCUCCUCGUUCAUAUGCAUCUUCUGUUGCAUUAGAUGGUAAUCUUUUUGUGUUUGGUGGCAGAAGUGGGAAUUCAUGGUUUGAUACAGUUGAAUGUUAUAACCGAAGGCACGACAAGUGGAUUUCUUGUCCUUCAAUGCUACGUAAGAAAGGUAGUCUGUCUGGAGCUACGUUGAAUGGCAAAAUAUUUGCUAUUGGUGGAGGAGAUGAUGUAGAAUGUUUGCCAGAUGUUGAAACUUUUGAUCCAGCAAGUGGAAAGUGGAUUGCAAACCGGCCAAUGUUUUAUAAGCGAUUUGCUUCAACUGCAGCAGAACUCAAAGGUGCAAUAUAUGCUGUAGGUGGCUAUGAUGGUUAUCAGUACCUGAGAUCUGCUGAAAAAUAUGAUCCACGUGAAGGUCGCUGGACACAUCUUCCAGAUAUGAGAGUGAGCAGAGGGGGUCAUGUGUUGGCAACACUUAAUGAGAAACUAUACUGCAUCGGGGGAUAUGAUUGUCAAAAGAUGGUUUCUAGCGUUGAAAUAUUCGAUCCUCGUCUGAAUACUUGGAUGAUGGGCGACCCGAUGAGAUUUUCCAGAGGGUAUGGUGCAGCUGUAGUCCUUGGCAAUUCACUGUAUGCUAUAGGUGGCAUCGAUGACGAUUCAGAGAUAAACACUGUAGAAUGUUAUAGAGAAAGGGUAGGCUGGAGUAGCAGUGGCUGGAAAGCCAUUGGAAAGAGGAGCUUUUUUUCAGCUGUUGUGCUCUAAGCGUCGUCGUGAUCGAGAAGUGCUCAUGCUGUGUUCUUUUGUAAAUAUACCAAUCUUCAGUUUAGGAAGUACUAUGUGAAAGAUGGAGGUCCUAGGCUUGCUUUUAUGGGAGAUGCAGAUAUUGGGAGAUGUUGUAUAUAUGCAGUCUUUUGAUACACAGAAACAGUUGACUGCAAGUUUUGUACCAUACAAUGCUUGUGUGUGUUACCAGCUUGUGGAUUCUCCAGUGUUUGAAUUAUGAACCUUAUGCUUAUACCUACCGUAGUCGCUCAGAAUGCAGUUCUUUUCUUCCCCCUCUUGUGGGCAUCCAAGUGGGCUUCUAGAUAUUACCAGGGCCAAAAUCGAACCAAAGACGGUGGGAGCCAUAUUAGAACCUCCCAACCAUCCGGAUCACCCGUGGUGGAUGCAAGUGACGUUUAUAAAAACAAAUGAAAGUUUUGUUCCGCAUCAAACCUACUUUCCUUAGGUGUAUUUUAAUUUGUAACUAAUUUCAUCCUUUUUAGGAACUUGGUGAUUAACACAAGGCUCAAGUCCAUUUUGUGUGAGAGAAUGCAGCAAGUGGAGUAUAUAUGUCCGGUGCUAGUGAUUUUAGAGUGAAGCUUAUUUCUACCAUUUCCGAUGCUUGGAAUUUGGACAUUACUUCUUGUCAUGAGAUAGAAAGUGUUGACGUACCUCAACAACUAGCCUGGAUUGCGGGGUGUUCUUGAUGACAUACAUGUUUAGUCUCGUUUCCGGUCAACCAAUUUCAAUUGCCCAAAAGGAUUGUGCAAGACAUAGAGCGCGUAUCGUUGCUCUAUUUAUAUCUGAAGGAUAUUAACGUGAUCCUCAAGACCAAUUUCCCGGAUGCUAGAUGGCAAAUAUAUGUUUGUCAUUAUGAAUAUAUGUUUGGAAAUUGAGUUGUAAAAUAUUUGUAUAAAUAUAUGUUUGUCAGUAUGAAUAUAUGUUUGGCAGUAUGAAA